rnacentral:rRNA from 1 species
AACGAACGCUGGCGGCAUGCCUAACACAUGCAAGUCGAACGACACCUUCGGGUCUAGUUGCUCACAGGUGCGUCACGUGUCGGAACCUUCCUUUAUGUUCCGAAUACCUCAGUGAAAUUUGAGCUAAUAUCGGGUGAUUUCUUCUAACCCAAGAUUUAUCGCCUUUGGAUGGGCGCGAGUUGGAUUAGCCGUUUGGUGGGGUAAAGGCCUACCAAGGCUUCGCUCCAUAGCUGGUCUGAGAGGAUGAGCAGCCACACUGGGUCUGAGACACGGCCCGGACUACUAGGGGAGGGAGGAAAGGGGAAUAUUGGACAAUGGGGGAAAGACUGAUCCAGCAAGGCCGGGAAAGUGAUGAAGGCGGUAGGGAUGUAAAGCAGUUUUACACGAGAUGAUAAUGACAGUAUCGGGAGAAUAAGCACCGGCUAACUCCGUG